rnacentral:rRNA from 1 species
CCUACGGGAGGCAGCAGUGAGGAAUAUUGGUCAAUGGGCGAGAGCCUGAACCAGCCAAGUCGCGUGAAGGAUGACUGCCCUAUGGGUUGUAAACUUCUUUUAUAAAGGAAUAAAACGAGGCACGUGUGCCGUUGUGCAUGUACCUUAUGAAUAAGCAUCGGCUAACUCCGUGCCAGCAGCCGCGGUAAUACGGAGGAUGCGAGCGUUAUCCGGAUUUAUUGGGUUUAAAGGGUGCGUAGAUGGGUUGUUAAGUCAGUUGUGAAAGUUUGGGGCUCAACCGUAAAAUUGCAAUUGAUACUGGCAGACUUGAGUACAGUAGAGGUAGGCGGAAUUCGUGGUGUAGCGGUGAAAUGCUUAGAUAUCACGAAGAACUCCGAUUGCGAAGGCAGCUUACUAGACUGCCACUGACGUUGAUGCUCGAAAGUGUGGGUAUCAAACAGGAUUAGAUACCCUAGUAGUC